CGUGCCUAAGGUAUGCAAGUCGAAUGCCGAUUUAUCGGCAUGGCAGACGGCUGAGUAAUACAUGGGAAUCUACCUCAAACUCGAGAAUAGCCCAUCGAAAGGUGGUGUAAUGCUCGAUAGUUCCGUUUACGGUAAAGCUCCGGCGGUUUGAGAUGAGCCCAUGUCCUAUCAGGUUGUUGGUGGGGUAAUUGCCUACCAAGCCUAUGACGGGUAGCUGGUUUGAGAGGAUGAUCAGCCAGACUGGGACUGCGAUACGGCCCAGACUCCUACGGGAGGCAGCAACUAGGAAUCAUGCGCAAUGGACGAAAGUCUGACGCUGCGACGUCGCGUGAGGGAUGAAGGUCUUCGGAUCGUAAACCUCUUUUAUCUGGGAACAAGUUCUGAGUGUACCAGAUGAAUAAGUGCCUGCCAACCACGUGCCAGAAGCAUCGGUAAUGCGUGGGGCACGAGCGUUAUCCGGAUUUACUGGGCGUAAAGAGAUGCGUAGGCGCCUUUUUAAGUCACUUGUAAAAUCUCCCCGCUCAACGGGGAAACUGCAAGUGAUACUGAAUUGGUUGAGUCAAGUAGAGGAGAGGGGAAUUCCUGGUGGAGCGGUUAAAUGCGUUGAUAUCAGGAGGAAUACCAAGUGCGAAGGCACCUCUCUGGACUUGUACUGACGCUAAGGCUCGAAAGUGUGGGGAGCAAAACGGAUUAGAUACCCGUGUAGUCCACACUGUAAACGAUCCCUGCUAGAUGUUUG
rnacentral:rRNA from 1 species